GACACAAAACCUAAACCCUUUGAACUAGAAGGCUCCACAAGGAAGAUCAAUCCCCGCCGACAUUCAGCUGAUGCACCAACAGUCCGGCGAGAGUAAUGUCGGCUACACGAUAUGAAUUCAAACUCGAUACUCAGAGACGUUUACAAAAUGUGCCUCUUCCAAAAAGAAUGACUCGAGGUGGAGGAGUUGUGGAACAAAUGGGUGAAGGACCGGGGAGAGUUGGUGCUAAUUCUUCGACGUGGGAAUGAGAAAAAAUCAUACAAGGUGCAUCUGAUGAAUAUUCUAAGUGCAUAUGGGACUAAGGAAACCUAUUUGAGUCAUGGAUGGAGCGCGUUUGUGCACGCGAACAGCUUGAAAUUGAAUGAUUUCAUUGUGUUCGAAUUGUAUGACAUGGGGGAAUUGUCUUAUAAGGUAAGGAUAUGGCGAAAUGACAUCGACAUAACAGGUGAUGAGGGCCAGGCAAUCAGGGAGUACGUUCUAGAACCGAUUCCCACUUUCAGAUUCUAGUUCAUACCAAGCUACAUCUUCAAACCCACUAUUGUAAGUUGAAGUAUAUUAAUGCCUGCCUUGGAUUGAUGAAAUGGUUUAUGAAUCUUUCUUAAUUUGUUGGUGUAGAACAUUCCAUUGGCAUUCACAAGAGAACAUUUAAAGGGUAUCGAAGAGUCCUCCGAAAUUAUGUUGUAUGGCAGUAAGUCAUAUGAAGGAAAAAUGCACAUCAAGUACAAUGAAAAAAAGAAAGUUGUCUCUUGCAUGAUAAAGAAAGGAGUUAAAGAAUUUAUUGACGGUGAGAAGGUCGAAGAUAAUGAGAAAACAAUCAUUGAGCUAUUAGAUAAGGAGCCACCAUUUUUCAGCAUCAUAUUUACGUGAAUGGCCGAUCAUGGUGCUUCAAAUUCAGUUGUGAAGUAUAUUAUGCAGGAGUCUUUGCUAUGGUACUCUAUUAGGGGUUGGUUGUGGAUGUUUAAGCCAUGAAAUAUGCACAGUUUAAUGGUGUUUAAGUUCGUACUUUUAACAGACAUGAGUAGCAGUUAUGGGGGUAACUAUUAUUGUGCUAUGUAGAAAAAGUUAUGACUUAAAUUGUGUUAAAUCCUUUAAUCCUUUAUUGGAAAGUAUCUGCUAU